CAGCAGCCGCGGUAACACGAGGGGGGCAAGCGUUGUUCGGAAUUAUUGGGCGUAAAGGGUGCGUAGGCGGUUUGGCAAGUUUGGUGUGAAAUCUUCGGGCUCAACUCGAAGUCUGCAUCGAAAACUGCCGGGCUUGAGUAUGGGAGAGGUGAGUGGAAUUUCCGGUGUAGCGGUGAAAUGCGUAGAUAUCGGAAGGAACACCUGUGGCGAAAGCGGCUCACUGGACCAUAACUGACGCUGAUGCACGAAAGCUAGGGGAGCAAACAGGAUUAGAGACCCGUGUAGUCCCUGUCUCUUAUAU
rnacentral:rRNA from 1 species